UACGUAGGGUCCGAGCGUUGUCCGGAAUUAUUGGGCGUAAAGAGCUCGUAGGCGGUCUGUCGCGUCGGCUGUGAAAACACGGGGCUCAACUCCGUGCCUGCAUUCGAUACGGGCAGACUAGAGUUCGGUAGGGGAGACUGGAAUUCCUGGUGUAGCGGUGAAAUGCGCAGAUAUCAGGAGGAACACCGGUGGCGAAGGCGGGUCUCUGGGCCGAAACUGACGCUGAGGAGCGAAAGCGUGGGGAGCGAACAGG
rnacentral:rRNA from 1 species